rnacentral:rRNA from 1 species
GAUGAACGCUGGCGGCGUGCCUAAUACAUGCAAGUCGAGCGAACGGACGAGAAGCUUGCUUCUCUGAUGUUAGCGGCGGACGGGUGAGUAACACGUGGAUAACCUACCUAUCAGACUGGGAUAACUUCGGGAAACCGGAGCUAAUACCGGAUAAUAUUUUGAACCGCAUGGUUCAAAAGUGAAAGACGGUCUUGCUGUCACUUAUAGAUGGAUCCGCGCUGCAUUAGCUAGUUGGUAAGGUAACGGCUUACCAAGGCAACGAUGCAUAGCCGACCUGAGAGAGUGAUCGGCCACACUGGAACGGAGACACGGACCAGACUCCUACGGGAGGCAGCAGUAGGGAAUCUUCCGCAAUGGGCGAAAGCCUGACGGAGCAACGCCGCGUGAGUGAUGAAGGUCUUCGGAUCGUAAAACUCUGUUAUUAGGGAAGAACAUAUGUGGAAGUAACUGUGCACAUCUUGACGGUACCGAAUCAGAAAGCCACGGCUAACUACGUG